UGAUUCUUUUGCUACCGAUUAAUGCUUUUUCAUUUUAUUUUUGGUUGGGGGGGGGGGGUUCUCUUGUUCUCUUUUCUGAUAUAGCUAGCUUCGAGGAAUUAUGGGCUUUGGUGGGAAUUGCUCCUUCAAAGUUUGAAAAGAUCGCUUUGAAAAUGAUUUAUGAAGAUAGGAUGAAGGGAUCCAUCGGUGAUCAGGUAGAGCUUUCAAUACAUUAGAAUAUGAAAGCAUUCGAUAAGCGCUGGUGAUCCUAUUGAGUCAUGGCUUCAUGUGGUUUACUUUACUCGGACGACAUUAGUCCCACUCCUAAUUUCAAUAGGCAAAUACUGAGCAGAUGAUGGCUCUUUAUAUAUCUUAUCACUAUAAAAUUUCUCCAAAUGAUACUUCAAGAAGUGAUGUGAUAUAUAUUUUCUUCUUCUGGGCUUAUACAAACUGUUCAAAGGAGGUGAUGCUGAGCUUUCAAUUCUUGGAAGGGCUGGGGCAUGUGCUGGCAUGAUUUCUACCUCUGAAAUCUACAACUGCCAUGGAAUCGACCAGGAAAACCAAUCAGUUGAUGGAAAGAGAAUCCCUGACAAAGUUUCCAGCGGCAAUGCAUAGAGAAAAAAGAAAAGUGAAACAACACGUACCAUUCUUGUGUUGCUCGUUUAUGUUCUAUUUGAGUUAUCGGAGCCUUCGCAUCCCUUUGUUGGAGGUGGAUGACAAAACAAAAAGGAACACAAAAGAAAGACAUGACGAAAACUUCACUAUUCCAGAAGGACAACGAAUCUUCGGAUCCAAAUAUGCUUACUGCAUAUAAUCCAGAUCUUAAUUUUUUUGAAAUAUGAGACUCUAGCUAUUGCUACAAACAAUUUCAUUGGAUCUAAUAAGCUUGGUGCAGGAGUUUCUGGUCUAGCAUACAAGGAGAUUCUUGUUCUUGGACGUUCUGCUUAACAUUAUAAGCUGGCAAUAACUCUACCUGCUUAUUUUUAGGGAACGUUAGCGGGCGGGCAAGAAAUAACAGUAAAAAGGCUCUCGAAGGGCUCUGUACAAGGUCUAGAAGAGUUUAUUAGUGAAGUUAUAGUGAGCUUAAAAACUCCAGCACCAAAUCUCGUUAGGUUGUUGUGUGGAAGGGGAUGAAAAUAUGCUUAUAUACGAGUACAUGCCUAAUAAAAGCUUUUAUGAUUAUCUUUUCAGUAUGAGAUUUUUUAACAAUUUUAGUCACUCGAGAAAUUCGGACAAAAAUAGUUAACCUUUAUUUUGUACGACCAUCUGACUCAGGU